rnacentral:rRNA from 1 species
AUGACCACGCCCAGCUCGCAUUUCCAUUCCCAGCUGCUGCUGCUGCUGUCAGUAAUCCUACUAGUCAUCCUUGCUGCCGCCGCUGAAGAGCAGCAGCAUCUGGGUUGCCCCGACAUGUGCGGCAACAUCAGCAUCCCCUUCCCGUUCGGCAUGGGGAAGGCUGGCUGCUUCCGCGAGGGCUUCCAGGUCUUGUGCAACUACUCCUUCGUUCCCCCUCGCGCCUUCCUUGCUGACACCAGAACAUUCAUGAAAAUGGAGUACCACACUUCUUGGCUAAGAGAGGCCAAGAACCUCACUUCGUGGGAGCUCAAUCACACGGCUUUAUGGUCGCUGCUUGAGCUCGUGAGCAUAUCACUUGCUACUGGCGAGGCACGAGCAUACGCUCCGGUCGCGUACAUCUGCAGGCCGUCUGAUUACAACCUGAGUGGUUACACACCGGGGUGGUCCAAGUCCCAGGUUAUGAAUUUCUCCAACUCGCCGUUCGCUGUGUCGGUAGCGCGUAAUGUUCUUAUCGGCGUCGGCAUGAGAGUCCAGGCUUUUCUGGGCGCGUCGGUGCCGGUGGAGUUUAAAGGCAGAGCUGCGUGGACGGAGAGGUCAUAUUGCUCUGCAGCACAAACGACGUCAAGGACGGGCAUGCUGCGGGACGGGCCGUGCACGACGGGCGGCUGCUGCGAGGUCCCAGUCGACGACUCCAGCACCAGCUACGGCCGUAGCGCCUUCAAGGAUUUCUUAUUGUCUGCCGAGGACGAGGGCCCCAACAUUUGGUGGAAACCCAUCUGCAACUACGGCAUGCUGGUGGAGAGGUCAUGGUACAACUUCUAUACGACCGACCUGGAGGGCACGGAGCUACUCAAAAGGUUCCCUCGGGGCGUUCCCCUCGCGCUUGAUUUCGCCGCUGGGAACGCUUAUUGUCCGGCGGAGGGACAGCCGCUGCCUCCGAACUAUGCCUGCGUCAGCGACAGCAGCUCCUGUGCCAACGCAACGUAUAGUCCUGGCUAUAUCUGCAAGUGCCGGGACAAUUACAUUGGCAACCCUUACGUCGCUCACGGAUGCCAAGACAUUGAUGAGUGCAAGCAACCCGAACUGUACCAUGCUCAAGUGGCGGGAUCUGCAAAAACAGGCCCGGAGGCUACGACUGUCCAUGCAAAUUCGGGAAGAAAGGCGACGGCAAAAAGGGGAGCUGCACAGAUGUAUUCACUCCAAUAGCAAAGGCCACUGUGGGUGCAAUAGGUGGUAGUCUCCUCAUGGUGAUUCUAUUGUCUAUUAUUUUUCUUCGCAAAGAGAAAAGGAAGGUGGAAGAAUUCUACAAAAAGAACGGCGGGCCUACAAUAGAGAAGGCAAAAAUUAUAAAACUUUUCAAAAAGGAAGAGCUCAAGUCGAUAUUAAAGAGUAGCAAUUUUAUUGGCAAAGGUGGGUUUGGUGAAGUUUAUAAGGGCUUUCUUAACAAUGAACUAGUUGCAGUAAAGAAGCCAAUCAGUGGUAGUGCACUAGAGAUUGAACAAUUCGCAAAUGAAGUCAUCAUCCAGUCUCAAGUCAUACACAAGAAUAUUGUCAGGCUCAUAGGUUGUUGUCUAGAAGUUGAUAUCCCAAUGCUAGUCUACGAGUUCCUCCCUAAUGGUAGCCUAGAAGACAUUCUUCACAGUGGCAACAAGAUACCUGUCAAUUUGGAUCUGCGUUUAAGAAUUGCUGCAGAAUCAGCAGAUGGUCUAGCUUAUAUGCAUUCGAAGACAAGUACUAAGAUAAUACAUGGUGAUAUUAAACCAGCAAAUAUACUGUUGGAUGAUAAAUUUGUGCCGAAGAUCUCAGACUUUGGGAUAUCAAGGUUGAUUGCAAGAGACAAACAACACACCCUAUCAAUCAUUGGUGACAGAAGCUAUAUGGAUCCUGUAUAUUUACAAACAGGCCUACUAACUGAGAAAAGUGAUGUCUACAGUUUUGGAGUUGUGAUGUUGGAGCUUAUCAGUAGGGAGAAGGCUAUACAUUCGGACAAUAAUAGUUUGGUAAAUAAUUUCCUUCAAGCUCAUAAGAAAGGGAAGAAAGCAACUGAGUACUUUGAUGGAGACAUUGCUGUAACAAGUGAUCUACAGCUUCUUGACAAGUUGGCGGAGAUGGCCGUGGAAUGCCUUAGCCUUGACGUGGAUCAGAGACCAACAAUGAUGGAGCUAGCAGAGCAACUCUUCAAACUGAGCCGAUCCCGUGGGUUCUAAGUUGUUAGUACGUUGAAGCAUAUUCUAUGUAUGUCCAGUAAGAAUGGGCAAUUAUCGUUGUAGCAACUUUUAUCUUGUUUUGUUGUUGUGGAUUUUUUCCCCGUGAAAUAGAAUCAUGGGAGGUCUCCCUUGGUUCAUUUUGUACUGUAACAAAUUGGUUGUAUUGAUUACUCAGAUUAUGUUGUUUUUGGAAGAAAAAAAAUAGAUAUCUUACCACAUAUGCCAUGUGGUACUCAGA